rnacentral:rRNA from 1 species
GACGAACGCUGGCGGCGUGCCUAAUGCAUGCAAGUUGAGCGAUGAAGAUUGGUGCUUGCACCAAUUUGAAGAGCAGCGCACGGGUGAGUAACGCGUGGGGAAUCUACCUUUGAGCGGGGGACAACAUUUGGAAACGAAUGCUAAUACCGCAUAACAACUUUAAACAUAAGUUUUAAGUUUGAAAGAUGCAAUUGCAUCACUCAAAGAUGAUCCCGCGUUGUAUUAGCUAGUUGGUGAGGUAAAGGCUCACCAAGGCGAUGAUACAUAGCCGACCUGAGAGGGUGAUCGGCCACAUUGGGACUGAGACACGGCCCAAACUCCUACGGGAGGCAGCAGUAGGGAAUCUUCGGCAAUGGACGAAAGUCUGACCGAGCAACGCCGCGUGAGUGAAGAAGGUUUUCGGAUCGUAAAACUCUGUUGGUAGAGAAGAACGUUGGUGAGAGUGGAAAGCUCAUCAAGUGACGGUAACUACCCAGAAAGGGACGGCUAACUACGUG